AGCGAACGCUGGCGGCAGGCCUAACACAUGCGAGUCGAACGAAGUCUUCGGACUUAGUGGCGGACGGGUGAGUAACACGUGGGAACGUACCUUUUGGUUCGGAACAACUCAGGGAAACUUGAGCUAAUACCGGAUGAGCCCUUAGGGGGAAAGAUUUAUCGCCGAAAGAGCGGCCCGCGUUAGAUUAGCUAGUUGGUGAGGUAAAGGCUCACCAAGGCUACGAUCUAUAGCUGGUCUGAGAGGAUGAUCAGCCACACUGGGACUGAGACACGGCCCAGACUCCUACGGGAGGCAGCAGUGGGGAAUCUUGCGCAAUGGGCGAAAGCCUGACGCAGCCAUGCCGCGUGAAUGAUGAAGGUCUUAGGAUCGUAAAAUUCUUUUACCAGGGACGAUAAUGACGGUACCUGGAGAAAAAGCCCCGGCUAACUUCGUGCCAGCCGCCGCCGUAAUAC
rnacentral:rRNA from 1 species